rnacentral:rRNA from 1 species
GACGAACGCUGGCGGCGUGCUUAACACAUGCAAGUCGAACGGAAUCCAUCCAGUGGCAACACUGGGGAAGAUUUAGUGGCGAACGGGUGCGUAACACGUGAGCAACCUACCCCAAUGUCAGGAAUAACACCGGGAAACCGGUGCUAAUACCAGAUGACCUCAUUUAGUCGCAUGGCUUGAUGAGGAAAGAUUUAUCGCUUUGGGAGGGGCUCGCGGCCUAUCAGCUUGUUGGUGAGGUAACGGCUCACCAAGGCUUCGACGGGUAGCUGGUCUGAGAGGACGAUCAGCCACACUGGGACUGAGACACGGCCCAGACUCCUACGGGAGGCAGCAGUGGGGAAUCUUGCGCAAUGGGCGAAAGCCUGACGCAGCAACGCCGCGUGGGGGAUGAAGGUCUUCGGGUCGUAAACCCCUUUCAGCAGGGACGAAAUUGACGGUACCUGCAGAAGAAGCCCCGGCCAACUACGUGCCAGCAGCCGCGGUAAUACGUAGGGGGCUAGCGUUGUCCGGAAUUAUUGGGCGUAAAGAGCUCGUAGGCGGCUUGGCAAGUCGAAUGUUAAACCUCCAGGCUUAACCUGGGAGAUGCCAUUCGAUACUGCCAUGGGCUAGAGUCCGGUAGGGGACCACGGAAUUCCUGGUGUAGCGGGUGAAAUGCGCAGAUAUCAGAAGAACACCAGCGGCGAAAGCGGUGGUCUGGGCCGGUACUGACGCUGAGAGCGAAAGCGUGGGGAGCAAACAGGAUUAGAUGCCUGGUAGUCCACGCCGUAAACGUUGGGCACUAGGUGUGGGGUCUAUUUCGACGGGUUCCGUGCCGUAGCUAACGCAUUAAAGUGCCCCGCCUGGGGAGUACGGUCGCAAGGCUAAAACUCAAAGGAAUUGACGGGGGCCCGCACAAGCGGC